rnacentral:lncRNA from 1 species
AGAAGCAAUUCAUCUUCCUUUAAAUUCCAGAUGGAAUUGGAGAGCAGUUGGAAACCAAGCUAGCUGGGAGUUGUCAUGUUGGUGGUCCAACAUAUCAGGAUGUUUCAAGUUUCAAGGGCUUUCUAUUUGAACUAUGCAAGUAUUUAGCAACCCCUGUGGCCUGGGCACUGGCAGUCUGCACAAACGCCAGCUGGACAAGACUGGCUGCUGUCCUCAGGUGUCCUCUGCAUAUUGGCUUGGGUAUGGAUGAUCCUGGGACACCCUACCCAGGCUCAGAAGGCCUCUGCUACUCAGCUACCUGGUGUCUUGCUAAGUGCAGGCGUCUCUGUUCAGGGUACACAGUCCUCGGGCAUGGGAACCAGAAGAUCUGGGAGCGUGGCUCAAUAAUCUGUGUGUGAAUAAACACUCCAGAUGAGUCUGAUGCAUGCAGAAGUAUGAUCACCACAGACCUAAACUGGGUGGGUUUGACUUUGUACUCUUUCCCUUGCUUUUGGACUAACAUGGGGAGCAGGCAGUUUACAGAAGAUCUUUGUUUUCUCUUUUAAUCUCCCAUGUUUUCAACUGGUGGGAAUGGAAACAACAUUGGCUAAUGGAAACAAUAAUGAUGUAGAAUGACUAUGACUGGUGCCAGUGAUAGAUCCUAACACCCAUUGUUAAACAUUUUACUAAAUACAUAUUUCUAUUCCACAUGAUAACAGUUUAAUUAUACAAUCUUAGAUCCGCAGAGUGACAUUGUAGGUUUCAGUAUUUUUUUUUUAACUUAUUGCAUGAAUGUAG